UAAACACGCCGGGGGCCUGUCAUGGGGCGGGUGGAGGAGGCGGUGGCCGAGCGGGGAGGCGCCUGGGGCAGCCUCCAGGGUCCGCUCUGCCAUUCCUGAACUGGUCCGGGUCCCCGUGACCGUGGCUUCAGGGAACUGUUAGGCGGAGGAGCAGGCAGUCAGAGCCAUAGCCCCUUCUUCCCCAGGGCGGGGGCCGGGCCUGGCCGGCUGAGGCGGGGGAGGGCCGGGAGGGCGCCGGGCCGGGCCGGCCUGUCUGCGGAGAUGGAUGACAGCAAGGUGGUUGGAGGCAAAGUGAAGAAGCCUGGCAAACGCGGGCGGAAGCCAGCCAAAAUUGACUUGAAAGCAAAACUUGAGCGGAGCCGCCAGAGUGCAAGAGAAUGCCGGGCCAGGAAAAAGCUGAGAUACCAGUACUUGGAGGAGUUGGUGUCCAGCCGGGAAAGAGCUAUAUGUGCACUCCGAGAGGAACUGGAAAUGUACAAGCAAUGGUGCAUGGCAAUGGACCAAGGGAAAAUCCCUUCUGAAAUAAGGGCCCUACUCACUGGAGAGGAGCAGAACAAGUCUCAGCAGAACUCAAGCAGGCAUCCCAAAGCCGGGAAGACAGAUGCUAACACCAAUUUGUUGCUGGGGAACUGAACCCAUAGCUUCAGAAAUGCUAGCCCUCAAUUUGAUUAUUUCCAGUCAUCUACUCCUUCUGGGGUGAAGAGCAUGUAAAAUGCAGUCAGUGAUCAAAGCCGAUGGUCUAACGACUUUGGAGGACAAAUGGGCAGGACUUUGCUUCUUGGCUCCACAUACUGCUUACUGCUCAAUAGGCAUCUCUGUAAAUCCCAAGUUUCUACCAAAAUGUGUGAUCAUACAUCACGAAGGCCUUUGCUUUAAUUUCCAGUACUUAGAAGAUUUGCCAACAUUCAGACCUGCUCUGUAUUGCUUUCCAUGUUGGUCAGCAAGUGAUGAUGCCUGAAACCACAGGGAUAGAGGAAAGUGGGUGAAAAGCGCAUGUUUGCACCUUAGCCGAAUGGCUUUUUUGGUUAAUUUAUAUUUCUCCUAUGUAAUUCGUGUGUCUGUUUGUGUGUUUAGUUGCUACUUCUCUUCAUGUUUUUAUCACCCUACAAAAAGAAACCAAAUAGGCUGUUUGUUUCCUGUGGUUCUCAGCCUUUGUGGACCCAAUGUUAUCCUUUAUACUUACUUGAGUAAUGUUUAAUUGUCUGUGAGCCAUUCCAGCAUAAGCUGUGAGUAUAUUAACAGAUAUAUACAUUUCUAUUUUUAUAAUCCAUAGUGAUGUGCCUGUUUUAAAGAAUGUAUGUAAGAAGCCCAACAAGAAAGACCUAGACAGCCUCUUUUUGCUCUUUCCUCAGACUGUGUUUAUGAAAGUUGGCUAGGGUCAAAUCCAUGCUUACAGAAUUAGCCAUGUUUUAUUUUUAGGUGAAAAGUAAUCUUUAGUGGCAUUCAUUAUCUUAACCUGCAGUAUGUGGGUGCACAUGUGUUUCUGUUGUAUGUCUACAUGUACAUGGGGUAGACAGGAGCGAAUGUUCACACACGUUUACUUGUGCACUCAACUAAGGCAUGGAAUUUUUUUUGAAGAACAUGGUAUGAAACUAGCUGCUGAGACUGAGUAUCUGCCUUCCUGUCUGCCAGAGCACAGGCAGACCGCUGGCAGCACUAACGACUGUUGCGGUUGGCAGAGUACUCCAUUUCUUCCCUGACCUGAGUGUCCCUGUGAGUGUGUUCUGAGCCAGAAAGAAGCCCACUGUGUGUUUGUACCCACUUUGGCCUGGGCCUCCACUGUGGUGGGGCACCCUGAGCUGUGCCUCGCACUGCAGCUUGGGGCCUGGCAGGCAUGUGGGGUGCAGGUGGCUCUGUAUGUUUCCAUCCCAGCUGCGUUUACAUGGCAGGGAGUGAUAGUUGAGGGCAGAGCUCAUAGUAGGCUACACUGAGAGAUAAGGGAGCUCUACUCCACUCUCACUAGUUCAGUCAGAUAUUGUGUAUCGUGUUCUCUGUUGCUGCUAAAUUACAAUUGUUCCUCACUCUGAUGAGGCAGGAACUUGGCUUCCAAAAAAGUGUUUGCUACAGACUGGCAAUGGGUGAGGGGGUGUCAUAGUCUUCAGGCGUGUCCAACAUUGUGACUUGAAGCCUGAGAACUGAAUGUUUUAAGCGAGUUUACAGUUUUGUGCUGGGACACAUUCCUAGCUAUUCUGAGGCAUGUACAGCUUGCAAGCCAUGGUUCAGACAUGCCUAUGCCUGGCGGUUGUCUGUGAGGUGGAACAUGAGAUGGAUCUCUUGGCAGGCAUUUAAACAGAUGCCUCCCCUUAGCUUAAGAUCCCUUGAUCUCAAGCUUCAAACUUAGAUCCCAUGUUUGGUGUGUGUGACCACCGACAGACCACUAGCCCAGCUUGCUGGGGUUCUCUGUGUUUAAGAAAAUGGGCAUUUAAGGGUAUUUAACGUCUUCUUAGGACCAUAAAUAUAGGCAAAGGAUAGUUGAUAUUCAGACCCUUCAGAAUUUAAGUGUUUUCAAAUAUAGUGUUGAGACUGUCCUGGGUAUGUUUCUGCCAGUUGGUCUACUCAGUCAUUCUGCUUUGCAGAACAGCCCAUGACUUUAUGUUGCUUUGUUCAGUAUCUUUGAAUUCUCUAGGAAAGUUGUUUUCAAAGAAAACAUUCCAGGAUGGAUGUGGCUGCUCAGUGGAAUGUCUGCACUGUGCUUGAUGACUCUGCAGGCUCUAAUUGUGAGGCAGGGUCUUCCCCAAAUAGAGUGAAAAUUGAAUGCACUUUGAGUUUGUUCAUGUGCCCACGUCACUUUAGUGUUCUGGAGUAAUCAAACCAAGAGAAGGGCCUUAUGCUUGAAGGGGACAUGUUGAUGGCUCUGGGAGCUGUGCUGCCCCUCUUCCUCAGAAGCCUGCGAUCUAAUCACUGGUCCUGACUCCUACAGCGAGAGUACCUCCAUCUCCAUCCGUGGCACUGUAGGUAACUGCACUUCCUUCCCAGAUGAUAGCAGGCUGAGAGGACAGAGCCCAAGGCCUUCAUCCAGGGCAGGAAGAGAGCCUGUCUCCUUUUUCUUUUUAUCUCAGAAAUUAAGGAGAAAAUAUAUUUGUGAAUUCACACCAAUCCAACUCCUAUCAUUUUAGAAUCCACUUCCCACAUAGUAGAGUAACUGGUGCAAUAUGGAAUUGAUCUGAUCUGGUCAGCUUUUAGGCUGUAGCUGAAGUUCUUAAUUUGUUUUCUAUCUUACCUAAAAUGUUUCUGUGACACCUGCGUCAGAACCUUAUAGCAGCCAUCCCUGUCACUGUUUGCCUUGUGGACCGUGCUCAGCAUCACCAUCUAAAAUUUACCAUCUUUGAAUUGUGGUGGGUUUGCUUUGGCUGGUUAUAAAAAAAAUACAGAUUCAAACUGGGCUUCACUUUUAGUUAAAGGCAAGUAAAAUUAACAAAAAGAAAUAUAUUUCACAGAAAUCAGCUGCAUGUUGUUAUAAAUUUUAAAAUACAUAUUUUGUUUUUUAAAGAUGAGAGAUAAUUAAACCACAUGGUAUUUGGGGGCAAUGAAGGAUGUUUUUUCUCAGAAGAGCAUUGUACAAUUAUAUUUUUAUGAAAAAUAAAGUAUAUUCACCAAAAUCA